rnacentral:rRNA from 1 species
UUUCGCAAUGCCCGAAAGGGUGACGAAGCGACGCCGCGUGCGGGAAGAAGGCCUUCGGGUUGUAAACCGCUGUCGGGAGUUAGGAAAUGCAAGGAUGUUAAUAGCGUCUUUGCUUGACUAAGGCUCCGGAGGAAGCCACGGCUAACUCUGUGCCAGCAGCCGCGGUAAUACAGAGGCGGCAAGCGUUGUUCGGAAUUAUUGGGCGUAAAGAGCACGUAGGCGGCCGUGUAAGUCGGUUGUGAAAGCCUUCCGCUCAACGGGAGAACGGCAUCCGAUACUGCAUGGCUCGAGUGCGGGAGGGGAGAGUGGAACUUCUGGUGGAGCGGUGAAAUGCGUAGAUAUCAGAAGGAACACCGGCGGCGAAGGCGACUCUCUGGCCCGUAACUGACGCUGAGUGUGCGAAAGCUAGGGGAGCAAACGGGAUUAGAUACCCCGGUAGUCCUAGCCGUAAACGAUGGGCACUAAGUAGAGGGGUUUU